UUUUAAUGGCUAUUGUCAUUUCAUCUAUCUAUAAAAAAAAAUAUUCUUGAAACAAUUACUUACUAAGACAUGUGUCACAUCCAAAUUAUUUGUUUUUCUGCCUAAUAAUAUAUUUUACCAUGCCUUGGCUGCUAGGCAUACUAUAUGGGCAGAUUAAAACCUAGAAAAAAAUUGUAAAUUUAAUUUUCUUUCCAUUAAACUUCGCCAAUGUCUUGACUCAUAGAAAGACUAUAUGGGUAAAUUAAAACAGAUUAAUAAUAAUAAAUUGAAAAUAUAACAACAAAAAAUCUCAAGCCUGUUCUCAAAACUUUCAAGCUAGAUCAUAUAAAAAAAAUUCAACUAGUAUUGUCAUCUCUUUGGUCUACCUAUCUUGCUUUCUAUUAUAUAUUUACAUAUUUUAUAAAUCAUGAGUUCCUUUACUAGCAAAUUCUUCAUUGUCUUCACAUUCCUUUGUCUUGCCCUUCUCCUUAUUUUCACAUGGGAGGUGGAGGCAGAAUUAUGUGCAUGGAGAAGUAUAGCAUGGUUAGGGCCUUGUUCUAGUAGCUUGGACUGUAAUUCAGUGUGCUUGGAGUCGGAAAAUGCAACACAUGGUGCUUGUGGAGGCUAUGGUUUUGAUUGCAUUUGUUUCUUCAAUUGCACAAACUAUUGAUAUUUUGAACAAAAUAAUAAGAGUUUAAAGGAUAUGAAUACUUAUUGUAAACUAGUUUACAUUUCAAUAAAAACUGUACCAAUAUGUUCAAAUGACACCUUUCAUUUUAAACAAGAAGACAAUUGUGAAAUUAUCACAAUAAUCUUUAGCGACCUUA